rnacentral:rRNA from 1 species
AACGCUGGCGGCGUGCCUAACACAUGCAAGUCGAACGAAGCUUGACGAACGAUUCUUCGGAUGAAUUCUGAUAUGACUGAGUGGCGGACGGGUGAGUAACGCGUGAGUAACCUGCCGUUCAGAGGGGGACAACAGUUGGAAACGACUGCUAAUACCGCAUAAUGUAUAUAGGAGGCAUCUUCUGUAUACCAAAGGAGCAAUCCGCUGAAUGAUGGACUCGCGUCCGAUUAGAUAGUUGGUGGGGUAACGGCCUACCAAGUCGACGAUCGGUAGCCGGACUGAGAGGUUGAUCGGCCACAUUGGGACUGAGACACGGCCCAGACUCCUACGGGAGGCAGCAGUGGGGGAUAUUGCACAAUGGAGGAAACUCUGAUGCAGCAACGCCGCGUGAGGGAAGAAGGGUCUUCGGAUUGUAAACCUUGUUUUGGUGACGAACAAAUGACGGUAGCCAAAGAGGAAGCCACGGCUAACUACGUG